rnacentral:rRNA from 1 species
UACGUAGGGGGCAAGCGUUGUCCGGAUUUACUGGGCGUAAAGAGCGUGUAGGCGGCCAAGCAGGUCCGUUGUGAAAACUGGAGGCUUAACCUCCAGACGUCGACGGAAACCGCGUGGCUAGAGUCCGGAAGAGGAGAGUGGAAUUCCUGGUGUAGCGGUGAAAUGCGUAGAUAUUGGGAAGAACACCUGAGGCGAAGGCGGGUUGCUGGGCCGACACUGACGCUGAGGCGCGAAAGCCAGGGGAGCGAACGGG